CCUGCCCGUUGAAUUUUUUGAAAGGCCGCGGUAUAUUAACUGUGCAAAGGUAGCAUAAUAAUUAGUUUUUUAAUUGAAGGCUUGUAUGAAGGGUUGGACAAAGAAAAAACUGUCUUUAAUUUUAUUUUUGAAAUUAACUUUUAAGUGAAAAGGCUUAAAUAAAUUUAAGGGACGAUAAGACCCUAUAAAUCUUUAUAUUAGUUUAUUUUCUUGAAAAUUAAUUUUGUCUAGAAUAUUAAAUAAAAUAGAAAAUAUUUUGUUGGGGUGAUGAGAAUAUAAAUUUAACUGUUCUUAGAUGAAACAAAGUUAUUUGUUUAGUUUUAAUAGAUCCUUUUUAAAGAUUAAGAGUUUAAGUUACUUUAGGGAUAACAGCGUUAUUUUUUUUGAGAGUUCUUAUCGAAAAAAAAGUUUGCGACCUCGAUGUUGAAUUAAAAUUUCUCCAUGGUGAAGACAUAAAGAUAUUGGAACAUUAUAUUUUAUUGGAGCAUGAGCC
rnacentral:rRNA from 1 species